AAAUUGAAGAGUUUGAUCAUGGCUCAGAUUGAACGCUGGCGGCAGGCCUAACACAUGCAAGUCGAACGGUAACAGGAAGCAGCUUGCUGUUUCGCUGACGAGUGGCGGACGGGUGAGUAAUGUCUGGGAAACUGCCUGAUGGAGGGGGAUAACUACUGGAAACGGUAGCUAAUACCGCAUAACGUCGCAAGACCAAAGAGGGGGACCUUCGGGCCUCUUGCCAUCGGAUGUGCCCAGAUGGGAUUAGCUAGUAGGUGGGGUAACGGCUCACCUAGGCGACGAUCCCUAGCUGGUCUGAGAGGAUGACCAGCCACACUGGAACUGAGA
rnacentral:rRNA from 2 species